AGGUUUCCGUAGGUGAACNUGCGGAAGGAUCAUUACCGAAUCCGUUAAAACCUUAACACACCGUGAACUUGGUCGCGCACCGUGCGCAUGUCUCCUUUCGGGGUUGCUGCCUGGCAGCAUUAAAUCGUGGUCGCUUUAGGGCGAGCUCGGGCCCCGUCUGGAGUAUGUGUGCGUGCGUGGUUUUCUCACCGCACAACCGUCCGCGGGCGUGCACUCCGUUUUUAAACCAAGCAAAUUUGCAGACCGAACUGUGGGCUUUCAAUCGAAAGUCUGUCUAAUGAUCAAAUCAUUGACAACUUUCAACGGUGGAUCUCUUGGCUCGUGGAUCGAUGAAGAACGCAGCAAGACGCGAUAUGUAGUGUGAAUUGCAGAAUUCAGUGAAUCAUCGAAUCUUUGAACGCAAAUGGCGCUCCUGGGUAUUCCCAUGAGCAUGGCUGUCUCAGUGUCGUUUUCACCUUGAACGCGCUUCGGCGCGGUGGUCAUGAGGCGUCUGAGAGACUGCCGUCGUUCGAGCAUUCGCUCGCUCGAUAGCAAGUUCCUUUCAGUCCCUUGAAAUUCAGUGGCCGAAUGUUGUGCUGAAGCAUGGCCUGGUCGGUUCGCCCCGGUCUGCUCGCACGGCUGAUCAGUCUUUUCYGUCGUCGUGUCGCAGCGGCUUGGGUGCACUUGACAUCGUGCCGGCUCAACCAUUCGAAUCAAGCCAUCUCUGGAAAACGAUUCGCUCGAAAUCCCACAAGGAAUUUGAGCAACACCUUCGACCUGAGAUCAGGCAAGACUACCCGCUGAAUUUAAGCA
rnacentral:rRNA from 1 species